UCAAAGAUAAGUUUCUAUAUUGCAGAUAAAAAUUGGAGACCGAAUAGAGACAGUUCGCUUCUUCCACUGCUACAAACGUGGAGUUGAUCGUGUUUUUGUAGAUCACCCAAUGUUCCUGGAAAAGGUUUGGGGUAAAACUGGAUCUAAGAUCUAUGGGCCUAAGACGGGAGGAUUAC